UUCCAAUGAACUUAAUUUGUCCACAGACCAGAUCCUUAAUAAACAAGCUUAUACAAAAAUUCGAACAUAUUUUUUAUAAAGAAGGCCAAGAACUAAGUUUUACAAGAGAAAUCAAACACUGGAUUAUAACAAAGAAUUAUCUUCCCAUUUAUUCAAAAACAUAAAAGUAGCCAGAAAUUUACAAAGACGAAGUUAACAGGCAAAAAGCAGACAUGUUAGAUCAAGAAGAAAAUGGACCAGUCAAAUAAGCAAAAGUGGCGGCUCGUCGUAGACUACCGUAAACUUAAUAAAGAAACCAUCGUAGAUCGAUUCCCGAUGCCAAAUAUAGAUGAAAUUUUCGAUAAAUUGGGUGACUGUAAAAGUUUUUCAACUUUAGACCAUGCAAAAGGUUUCUAUCAGAUAGAAAUGGACAAUAAAGGCGUACACAAAACAGCCUUUUCAACAACCAGUGACCACGACGAGUUCCUUCGUUUGCCUUUUGAACUACGGAACGCACCUAUACCGGACAAUUUUGCAUUGCUUAUAUGGAUGACAUCCUUAUAUUUUCUAAGAAUAUACAAGAACACGUCAAUCAUCUAAGCUGUAUUUCAGCUGCCUAUCUAAGGCAAAUUUAAAACUCCAAUCAGACAAAUGCGAGUUUGCCAGAGAGGAGAUUGAAUUUCUCGGGCACACACAAUUCAGAAGGUCUUAAGCCAAGUCAGAAGAAAAUUGAUGCAAUUUGCAAGAUAAAUUUACCGACAAACCAAAAACAAAUUAAAAGUUUUCUAGGCAUCACAGGUUAUUAGAGGCGCUACAUAAAAGACUACUCCAAAAUUGCCCAACCUUUAAUAAAAUAUUUAAAGAAAAAUUCUAAAACAAACACGCAUGAUCAAGAAUACAUAAAAGCUUUUUAAAAACUGAAAAUCCUAAUAACAAGCGAUCCAAUUCACGAUAGUUACGGACGCAAGUAAUAAAGUAAUUUCUUAUGCUAGUCGUUCAAUUAAAAA